rnacentral:misc_RNA from 1 species
UUUAUAACUGCAUUUAUGGAAAGAGUGACUAAUUCUAAACCUUUAUAACCACUUUGCACCUUAUCAUUCUCAGUCUAGCUCUCUCUUUAUCACUCUUGUAAAUUGAAAAUCUACAUUUAUGGUCAGUUUUCAUGAUGCUAAAUCUUUGAAAACCAUUCUGUCCCAUGUCAAUGCUUCAACCUAUGUAAUGGUCUAACCAUCUCCACUACUCCUCUCUUAAGUUGACUUUGGUGGGUGCCACUUCCAUCUUUCUACUGAAGUCCUCAUUCUUUAUCUGGUACUUCUUGUAUUUUCAUGCAUUUAUUUUAGCACUCUUCUGUCUUGCUUAUGUUGUGG